UGGGGAAUUUUGGACAAUGGGCGCAAGCCUGAUCCAGCAAUGCCGCGUGCAGGAUGAAGGCCUUCGGGUUGUAAACUGCUUUUGUACGGAACGAAAAAGCUCUCUCUAAUACAGGGGGUGAAUGACGGUACCGUAAGAAUAAGCACCGGCUAACUACGUGCCAGCAGCCGCGGUAAUACGUAGGGUGCAAGCGUUAAUCGGAAUUACUGGGCGUAAAGCGUGCGCAGGCGGUUUUGUAAGACAGAGGUGAAAUCCCCGGGCUCAACCUGGGAACUGUCUUUGGGACUGCAAAGCUGGAGUGCGGCAGAGGGGGAUGGAAUUCCGCGUGUAGCAGUGAAAUGCGUAGAUAUGCGGAGGAACACCGGUGGCGAAGGCAAUCCCCUGGGCCUGCACUGACGCUCAUGCACGAAAGCGUGGGGAGCAAACA
rnacentral:rRNA from 1 species